GUGAGGAAUAUUGGACAAUGGGCGCAAGCCUGAUCCAGCCAUGCCGCGUGCAGGAAGACGCAUCUAUGGUGUGUAAACUGCUUUUGUACGGGAAGAAACACUCCCUCGUGAGGGAGCUUGACGGUACCGUAAGAAUAAGGAUCGGCUAACUCCGUGCCAGCAGCCGCGGUAAUACGGAGGAUCCAAGCGUUAUCCGGAAUCAUUGGGUUUAAAGGGUCCGUAGGCGGUUUAAUAAGUCAGUGGUGAAAGCCCAUCGCUCAACGAUGGAACGGCCAUUGAUACUGUUAGACUUGAAUUACAAGGAAGUAACUAGAAUAUGUAGUGUAGCGGUGAAAUGCUUAGAUAUUACAUGGAAUACCAAUUGCGAAGGCAGGUUACUACUUGUGGAUUGACGCUGAUGGACGAAAGCGUGGGGAGCGAACAGGAUUAGAUAACCGUGUAGUCC
rnacentral:rRNA from 1 species